rnacentral:lncRNA from 1 species
CGCUCGCACACGGGGCGGGGCUGCAGGAGUCUCGAACACCAGACCUUCAUGGACGAGUCUCUCUCCAGUCACACCUUUACCUUUCCUCUCAGUGCUGGACUUCUUCCAUCAUCUGUCAAAGACGGAGAACCAGCAGAGACCUCCAAGUUCAGAUCCUCAUGAGGAACUGGCAGAUGUUUGAUGUGUGAAGGGGCGGGGCUGUAUGGAUCCGAUCCUUCCAGGACUUUCUGAACCUAAAUCAGGAACUGUCGGGCCGGGAUGUGAGUGAUGGAGACGCCUGUUUGUGCUUUCUAAAACACCAAGACCCCCACCAUGAAGACCGGGAGCCCCCGGGUUUGUGGGCCGGUCUCUGGCGACGGUCAGUGAUCCCUCGUCUGGGAACGAUCAGGCAGAUGAAGGUCUCAGAGCUGGAUGGACCCGUCUCGUCUGGAGGACAGCUGGAGCGUCUGGUACCGACCGUCUGGUACCGAGUGUCUGGUACCGAGUGUCUGGUACCGAGUGUCUGGUACCGAAAGUCUGGUACCAAACGUCUGGUACCGAGGGUCUGGUACCAAACGUCUGGUACCGAACGUCUGGUACCAAACGUCUGGUACCGAAAGUCUGGUACCAAACGUCUGGUACCGACCGUCUGGUACCAAACGUCUGGUACCGAGCGUCCUCAGAGCUCACUGCCUGUCUGUCCACCAACCACAGAUCUUUAAAUCUGACUCUGAACAGAUUCAGUCAGAAAUCCAGGAUGUGUUCAAGAUCCAGAUCCACAGAGCCGGUCCUCGAGGUCUGGAUUCUGUGAUCCACAGAGCCGGUCCUCGAGGUCUGGAUUCUGUGAUCCACAGAGCCGGUCCUCGAGGUCUGGAUUCUGUGGUCCACAGAGCCGGUCCUCGAGGUCUGGAUUCUGUGGUCCACAGAGCCGGUCCUCGAGGUCUGGAUUCUGUGAUCCACAGAGCCGGUCCUCGAGGUCUGGAUUCAUGGUCCACAGAGCCGGUCCUCGAGGUCUGGAUUCUGUGGUCCACAGAGCCGGUCCUCGAGGUCUGGAUUCUGUGGUCCACAGAGCCGGUCCUCGAGGUCUGGAUUCUGUGGUCCACAGAGCCGGUCCUGGUCCAGGUCUGGAUUCUGUUCAGUUCUGCAUGAAGAAGGAAGUGAACUGCAGUUUCCUCAUGACAAUCCUGUGGUGCGUUCAAGGACACACCUGCUGCAGGCUCUUGAUGCUGCAUGAACCUUGAAGAGUCAAAUGUGGUGAAUCUUCUUCUCUUACAGCUCUAUUCCCAUAAAUACGAGUCCUAGAAUUCCAGCUUUACUCCUCCUUCAUGAUCGACAGAGUCCCUGAUUGGUCAGAGUUCAUCUGGUUUAACCAGGUGUUAUCUGAAGGGUCCAGGUGGGUUGACGCGUUCAAUGACUUAGAAGAACGACACGAGAACAGACUAGAUGUGAAUCGAGACGUGAAGGUUUCUGACCUGGAAGGAGCGCAGACAGUCAUGUCGCUCCAGACUUUAUUCCAGCAUUCUCUAUACUGUCAUCAGUGAUGUCACAGCCGCUCACAGAAGACCUGCGGAGGGACUCGUCAUGACAGCUUCCAAGUCACACCCCCCACCACCGUAUCGGGGGUAGAGGUGGGGGUGCAGACGGAAAAUCCUCAGAAUGUUUCAGCUCCAUGACAGCAGGUCUCUCUGAAGACUCGGACCGGGAAAAUCGGGUCUCCUGAUGCGGCUGCACCGACAUGGGCGGGGGGGCACUCGUCAAGGGCUGAGCGGCGCGGCGCGGCGCCUGCAGGGCGGCACGGCGCCUGCAGGGCGGCACGGCGCCUGCAGGGCGGCGCUCUGCAGCUGCUGCUCGUUCUGAGAGGUGAAACUGCUCCCUCUGGCUGGGAGGUUCUGCCGUCUGAACCAGAACCUCCCCAGCACCGGAGGCCCCUCCCCAGCACCGGAGGCCCCUCCCCAGCACCGGAGGCCCCUCCCCAGCACCGGAGGCCCCUCCCCAGCACCGGAGGCCCCUCCCCAGCACCGGAGGCCUCCCAGCACCAAAGGCCCCUCCCAGCACCGG